rnacentral:lncRNA from 1 species
AGAGAAGGAGAAUUGGUAAAAUUGGUUGUAGAAAAAGUUUUGAAAGAGUUGAAGAAAGUGAAGGAGUUGGUUGGUGAUGAUUAUUUGGUCGGAAUUGACAAUCCUGUGGAGGAGGUUAUGCAAUUGGUAAACAGAAUGCUAGUGCUACCUUGCGUGGUGGGGAUUUAUGGAAUUGAGGGCAUGGUAAGACUACUUCUUGCUAAAGUCANNNNNNNNNNNNNNNNNNNNNNNNNNNNNNNNNNNNNNNNNNNNNNNNNNNNNNNNNNNNNNNNNNNNNNNNNNNNNNNNNNNNNNNNNNNNNNNNNNNNUUGCAAAUAUCAGGGAAUCGCGUGAAUGUGAUGGUAUUAAUUACUUGCAAAAUCAAUUAAUCUUUGAUAUGCAAAAAGAAAAAAAUCAAUUUUGUAAUUAUGACGAAGGAAUUGAGUGCUUCUUGUCUAGGUUUAAAGAUGAGAAAGUCCUCAUUAUUUUUGAUGAUGUGGAUACCACCGAUCAGUUAAAGGCUUUGGCUGGAAAUCCUAACUGGUUUGGCUCAGGAAGUAGGAUCUUUGUUACCACUAGAGAUGAGAGUGUUCUUGAUAAGGCCAGAGUGGACAUCAAGUAUGAGCAUAAGCAAUUGCAUGAAAAGCAAUCUCUUAUCCUUUUUUCUAGACAUGCAUUUCGAAGAGACUAUCCUCCAAGUGAAUUUUUAGCUCUAUCUCGUCUUGUUGUAUCUACAACAGAAGGGAUUCCCUUGGCUGUCAAGGAUAUAGGUUCAUUUUUGUGUGAAAAACCAUCACGGAUAUGGAGAGAAACAAUACAAAAGAUGCAAAAUAUAUCUCAUAUGGCAGUGCAAGAAAGGUUGAGGAUAAUUUAUGAAGGAGUGAGGGAGGGUCAAAGAAACAUGGAAGAUGUGUCUUCCGCGAAUCCUGCCAUGCCUAGUCCUUCCAUCUCGCCAAGCAAAAACGAUUACGAAGUGUUCUUGAAUUUUAGAGGUGUAGAUACUCGAAGAGACUUCACCGACUACCUCUACCGUAGCCUUGUUGAUGUUGGAAUCCGUGUCUUCACGGAUGACGAUGAGCUCCGCGUGGGCGAGAGAUUGAGCGAAGAUCUUAUGCAAGCCAUUAGGAACAGCAAUAUUUUGAUUCCGAUUAUCUCUGUGAAUUAUGCUUCUAGCAAAUGGUGCCUUGAUGAACUUGUUCAAAUGAUGAAGUGCAAGAGACGCUUAGGGCACAUAGUGUUACCUAUAUUCUACAAAGUGGAACCUGUAGAUGUGCGGGAUCAAAAGGGUCGAUUUGGAGAGGCAUUUCAUUAUUUCGGGAGGCGUUUCGAUCAAAAGUUUACAAAGGAAUGGCAGCAAGUGCUGACAGAAGUCAGUUCCUUACAAGGAUGGCAAUUUGCUAACAGGUACUUCGUUCUUUAACCAGCACUUUAUUUACUUUGACGAUGUCAACGCCAGCAAAUCAUAAUUUUUUACGGAUUUGAUUCAUUCGUUUUAAUGAUGAAACUCCUUUACUAUACUACAUGUGCAAAACUUAAAGCUUCAUUAGCCUCAAAUCUUUUUCUAACUAAAUACUUUUAGAGUAACCUUGAAAGAUGUUAUCGGUGCAUCAUGUGGAGCAACCGCGUGGAUGCUUUACCCACUUUUAUCAUAUAGAUAAGAUNNNNNNNNNNNNNNNNNNNNNNNNNNNNNNNNNNNNNNNNNNNNNNNNNNNNNNNNNNNNNNNNNNNNNNNNNNNNNNNNNNNNNNNNNNNNNNNNNNNNGAUAAGGGAUAACAUUUAUGGAAUGGGGGGCAUUGGUAAGACAGCUCUUGUUAAAGUGAUCUACAACAAGCUAUUGAAUCAAUUUGACCAUUGUAGCUUCAUUUUAGACAUUAGGGAAUCAUGCAAUCGCAAUGGUAUUAGUUACUUGCAAAAUCAAUUAAUCCAUGAUAUAUUGCAAAGAGAUAUUCGAUUGCAUAACAAGGAUCAUGGAAUCCGCAUCAUCUCAUCCGAGCUUAAAGAUAAGAAAGUCCUCAUUAUUCUAGAUGAUUUAGACACCACUGAUCAGUUAGCAGCUUUGGCUGGAAAUCCUAAUUGGUUUGCACCAGGAAGUAGGAUCUUUGUUACCACUAGAGAUAAGAGUGUUCUUGUUAGGGCUAGUGUGGACAUCAAGUAUGAGCAUAAGGAAAUGGAUGAGGAGCAAUCUUUGAUCCUAUUUUCUAGACAUGCAUUUCGAAGUGACUCUCCUCCCAGUAAGUUUUCAGCUCUCACUCACAUUGUGGUAUCUAUAACGGGAGGGCUUCCCUUAGUUCUCAAGGUUGUAGGUUCAUUUUUGUGCGGAAAACCAUCAAUACUAUGGAAAGAAACGAUAUGUAAGAUGCAAAAUAUGCCUCAGAGGGCAGUGUCAAAAAAGUUGAUGAUAAGUUAUGAAGCAUUGGAGGAGGAUCAAAGACAAAUGUUCUUGGAUAUUGCUUGUUUUUUAAUUGGGAGUGACGCAAGAAUUGCAUGCUACAUGUGGGAUGCUUGUGGCUUUUUUGCGAGGGGUGGAAUUGAAGUACUGAGAUCUUUAUUGUUCAUAAGUGUUGGAGAUAAUCAUGAGUUUAGAAUGUAUGACCAAAUGAGAGAUCUAGGUAGAGAAAUUGUGCGUUCAGAGAACUACCACAACUCUCACCAACGUAGUAGAUUGUGGGAUUAUGAGGAAGCCUUGGCAGUGCUAGAGAGCAAGAAGGUAACUUUAUAUUUUUCUUUUGCUCCCGUAGUCUAUGUUCUUUUGUUUUAAAUGAUGUCAGUUAUUGUGCUGGUAUUAUUUUAUUGACGUGAUUAGGAAAGGAGGUUGCUCUUUCUUAGGGAGUGCUGCAGUUUCUCUUCAAAUUUCUGUUUUUGUGGUUUUUUUUUUUGUUGAUCAGUUGUACUCUAUUCCUAUUUUCACUCUCACUCUCACUCUCAUUCUUACUUUCAAACUUUUGUCCUACUUCCUCUCCCUUCUCAUAUGAGAAGGGUGGCCAUUUGGGCAAAUCCUAAUAGUUCACUUUUGUUGUUUUGAAAGUCAAAAAUAUCAACGGUGAACCCAAUCAUAAAAAUAAUGUACAAAAUUAACCAGCGAAUACUCAAAUGCAGACUUUUCCAGUUUGUAUAUUGAGAGAAACAAAAUAACUGACCCAGGUAAGCCAUAAUUAAAAAGUAUGCUUUAAAGUAGAGCCUAAUUUAACUGAUGCGCGUCUUAUCUUUUAUGGUUGUCGGCUGACAUCUAUGAUCUUAUCAACUGAAUCAAAAUAAUCAUCCUAAUUAAUUUUGAAAUUUAGUUAAUGCAACUGAUUUAGAAUAAUCAGUCAUGCUCAUUCAUUUAGUGAGUUAUACUUCGGUUGUUUUGUUGUAUUCGUAAGUCACUUGUUUAUGCUCAUUCACGUAUCAUCUUAAGGACUUUGAUAGGAAUAUUCAGGGAAGAGAAAAGGAAAAAAUCCCUAAAACGUAAAAUUCCUCUUCCUUCAUGUGAUAUUAUAGAUGUGCGCGCUCUUUUUUUUUUUUUUUUUUUUGCCACGACUAGUCAGAGAGCACACAGAUUGUUUGCAAAGAAAAAUAAUCAAGAAAAUAAGUAAAGAAAAAAUUACGUUUGAAGAUUUGAUUUAUAUUCGAAUCACCGUUUUCAAUUAUCGGGGAUUGAAAAUUUUAAAUUGAUUUUAGAAAGUGUCGGUGAAAUUGAAGAACCACCUCAUACUUAUCUCGAUAACUUUCAGUUAGGGUUCUAUCUAUUGUUUAAUAGUGGCAUUAAUAAAUUGCAUGGACUUUUAUGCAAAAUUUUAGGCAUGAGUUUGAAACUGAAAAUUGGUAUCGAGUUUAAUGUAUAAUUAAGUAGAAAUAAUUGAUAUUAUUUCACUGAGUUGGUAAGAUGCAACAUUUGUGAUCCUUGUACUCGUAGGGAUGUGGAAGGAUUGAAGCCAUUUGUCUGGAGGAAGGCGACUCUAAUUAUAUAUAUGAUCAAGGGAGCUGCACAUUUGCGGAUGAACAAUUUAGAAACUUAUCGAACUUGAGGUUUCUUCACAUGAGUGAUGUGAAUCUUCGCGGAGAUUAUAGUGAUUCAUUUUCUCAGUUAAGAUGGCUCAAAUGGGGGAAGUGUGCCUCAAAUUUUGAAGCACACAACUUUCAUGCAGCGGAAUUAGUCAUACUCGAUUUGUCAGGAAGCUCGAUUUCAGAUGUCUGGCAGGGAUGGCAUUCAAUGAUGGUAUGAUAUAAAAAUAUAUUCUUUUUCUUUUCUUUUGAGUGGGAAUAACUCAUUGCUGACCCCCAUGAUAUAUUCUUUCUUGCAGAAGGCGGAAAAGCUGAAAGUUCUCAACCUCACAAGUUGCCAUUCCUUAAAAAGGACUCCUUACCUCUCAGCUUUCAAAAGAUUGGAGAUUUUGAUCCUUAGAGAUUGUAGCAAAUUGGAGCAAAUUGAUAAUUGUAUUGGAGACAUGGAGAAUCUCAUUUCCCUGGACUUGAGUGGAUGUUCUGGUCUUAAGAAGCUCCCGCUUCAAAUGGCUAAACUAGAACAAUUGAAGGAACUUCUUCUAGAUGAAACUGCGAUACAAGAAAUACCUUCCUUCAUCAGUUCUCUAAAGAAGCUAGAGAUGCUUAGUGCCAGGGACUGCAAAUCAUUAAUUGGAUUUCCGGACUCGGUAAGCAGUUUGGUGACUUUGUCAACCCUUGUCUUAUCAGGUUGUGUUGAGCUUGCAACACUUCCACAUAGCAUUCAGUUCCUUGAGAAUUUGCGGUGCUUGUCAUUGAGAAGCUGCCAACAAUUGAGAGAGAUUCCCAGCUGGAUUGGCAAUUUGAAAUUGUUGACUCAAUUGGACUUGAGUGGAUGUUCGCGUAUUCAGCAGCUACCACCUCAAAUUGGUGAACUAAAACAAUUGAAGGAACUUCUUCUAGAUGAAACUGCAAUACAAGAAAUUCCUUCCUUCAUCAGUUCUCUAGAGAAGCUAGAGACACGGAGUGCCAAUAAUCGCAAAUUAACUCUUUAAGCUGUUUAGUGAAUUUGUCGACCCUUGUCUUGUCAAGUUGUGUUGAGUUUCCAGAUUUCUUGAUAGCAUCGGGUUUCUUGUGAAUUGCUUAUCAUUGGGAUGUUGUGAUGGGUUGAGAGAGAUCCCAACUUAAUUGGGAAGUUGGAAUUGUUGACUUAGCUAGACUUAUCACGGACAAGGAUCACAGAAUUGCUUGAUGAAAGUUCUGGAUCUCGGUAACAAUAGCAUAGAAAAUCUGCCAGGUGGUAUUGGAAGGUUGAAAAAGCUCUGAGAGUUAUAUGCAUGAUGGUGCUCGAAUUUGGGAGGGGAAUACCAAUCAUACAUAAUCUUUCUUCUUUUAAGUCUAGUGCAUUUUGAUUUAAUGCCCAAUAAUCUGGAAUUCUUGUGUAUUUUUAUUCAAAUGGGUGAUUUAUGAUUUAGGUUUUUUUCAUGAUGAAGUGGAAGAUGCAAUAUCAUUUCUGGUCUCUGCUCAUGGUGAAGUUUAGGAUUGUAUUGGUGAUGUUGAUGGUAGUGUUGUCUGCCCAGCUUCCUUAAAUGGCGCCCUAUCUGCUGCCGAUGCUUGGAAGAUUGUUAGAAGUAGCAGUAUUGAAUAACUUUUGUCAGAAUAUUUAAAUAAUAAAUCAUAUUUUUAUUUAAUAGCUUAAGUUUUUAUAGCAGUUGAUAAUGAUCUUACAAAAUUUCACAUGAUAUAAUAGCUGGAAGUCUUGAGUUCGAAUUUUUUCAGGCCACGUUUGUCUUCCCAAUUAAAUUUACACGCUUAUUGCUAGGCAGAAAGAUUAAAUUAAGCGUGAGGGGAAGUGUGAAAAUAUUUGAAUAAUCGAAAAAUGAGAAUGAACUAUAAAUUAUUUUGGGAAGUGUGAAAUAAUUAAAUAAUCGAAAAAAUGAGAAUGAGCUAUAAAUUAUUUUACAUGAAAAGGAAGACUUGACUUUAUUUUUUUGAAAGAGACCUGCAUUAUUCAUGUAAUAUAAGGGAUAUCUAGUAGCUGGUGUUUUGAUGUCGAGGUUUCUCGUGUUGUGGAAAACAAGCAAUUGGAAGAUAGAAUAAAUAGAAAGGAAAUAAAUCACGUACUAGAUUUAUAUGGUUUGGUUGGUGGGACUUAUUCUUCGAAGAGAGUAACAAAUUAUUCCUCUAUAGAUUGAACGAUACAAUGGAGAUUUCAAUCAUACUUGAGUUACUCAAGCACUCUCAUUGUAUCUUAACUCACAAUUACAUUUAAAAACUCACAUGAUGUUUAGCCUUCGUAAUUUUUUAGAAAUUAAUAUCUCAAUUUCACAAAGGAUAUCACAAAUCUUACCGCAAAAUUUAUGGACUUCAAAACACUUGCAAUUUCUUCAUGGUGUAAUUCACGAAGAAGCAGUCGUUUUGAUACUUUUUAUUGAAGAUCAUUAAAUAAUAUCAAUGCAAUAUUUUUUUCAUCAAUUUUAUUUAAUGAUUUAGGUAAGCGAGUCUAAGAUGUGAAAUAUAAACUCUUCAUUGUUAGUUUUAUUGUAGUAUUUGGAUCCAGUCAAUGUAAGUUUAAUUGAAUUAUUUCAUUGUUGAAUUUACUCUAUCGGUUAAGUAUGGUAAAUGCAAUAUGAACUAAAUAGGAUUUGCAUAGUUUAUUUAUUUUUCAUUUUCUAGUCAGCUAUGCUCGAGAGCAUAUGAUUUAUUAUUUAUCAUAAAGAAGUUAGAUUUUUAUCUAGUAUUUCUAUUGGCAAAACAGAUUGAGAAUUAGGAUUAAUAUAACUGAACCUAACUGAGUUAUAUUGGAAUGCGGUCUAUCAUUUUUAUCUUUUUAUAAUUUAUUUUAUUUUACUUCAUUUGAUUUUUAUAUGUCAAUAAAUUUUUGCUAGCAAUUCUGUCGCUCUAAUUUGACCCAGAAGAAGUGUACAUAUUAGCGAAGAUCACUCUCAAAGUAAUCUAUUUUUAAAAAAAGGGAAGGCUAUAACAGGUAUAAUGAAAAGUUUGGAAAUGCCCCGAAAUUGGAAACAACCUCGUCAUAUGAGUAAUAUUUUGGAAUAAGAAUUUAGAAUUCUAGCCUUACAAGUACUUGAAUUUCGAGGGGGAGGUGGUCUGACUGCCAAGCAUGCGCUUAUAGCUGUCAGUCAACAAAUAACUAGUUAAUCACGCAUACAAAAAUUACUAUCUAAUCAAAUAUGCGUUAAGUAAUCUAAAAGUCGUUCGGAUUGACAGGCAUCAUGAAAGCGACUUCCGCAACCUAAUGAUGCUCUGUUUUUCGUUUUCUGUUUUAUUUUUUUUUUGUUGGUAAAAUCAAAGUAGAAGUUCAUUUCAUAGGAUGUCAUUUCAUUUGCAUUUCACCUCCCUUUUGUAGAUCGAGACCAAGACCUCGGCGACUUGGUGGGCCAGGAAGGUGAUGUACUGUGCAUCUUCACCCUUCGUACAAGGCAGUUGGCACCCGAUUAUCUGCUUCAAAGCAAAAGAUGAUCGCUGUAAAUUCAAUUGCCCAUGUGCGGAGGUCGUCAGUGAUGGGCCAGCACCUGCUUCCUGCUCCUUAGUCAAGCCUUAGUACAGUAUAGAUCGGUCGGUCCAUGGAAAAUGAGAAAAUAUUUGGUGGCAUGAGCGCGUCAUGUCAUCUGGUCAUGUGGUGCGCAUCUACCAAUGAGAUAUUGACAUGUGUUCCAUUAGCAAGACCCGCUGGAAAAUGGAAAGGCUGCUUGUUGGCUAGCUCGGCUCGGCUUCGCUGUAGAAGAAAAGACGGGUCGGGGGUCAAUAAAUGCGCAAUACUCCCGCUCAAAAUAUUUCUCUCUCCUCAAUUGAAUUUUCUGAAUUCUCUCUCCUCAUAAAAGAACAAAGAACAACUAAGACUUCCUUUGUUUCGAGAAAAUAUUCAAUGGUUUGUAAUCACCACGUCACUCGCCUACCCAACGUGCGUGUUCCAUUCAAAUUGCGUCACGUGCUCAUUACGUGGAAUUAAAAACUUUGAAUCCUAGUGCUUGUUUCUCUCUCCUACAGACUGAGUAAAAGACUGGCACAAGUAAAAUUAAUGCAUUACCUUCUCUCUCUCCUCUUUGUAGGUCCUCCUUCACGACCUCUCUCUUUUGCAAUAAAGGCCUCCAUCUCCAUCCUCUCUUCCUCUCCCUUCCUCCUUCUUCACCUUUCCGCCUCCUCGUCGUCUUUCCGUCUUCGACUCCCUAAACAAUCAAUCGGCCUCUCGAACUCUCCUUCAUCUUCUACUCGUAGUCCAAUCCACAUUUCCAGCUCGGAUAUGUCGCCAACGAUUUUGAAGUGGAACUAGGUUGCAAGGAGGAGGUUGGAUAUUUUAGUUGUGGCAUUUGUUAGAGAAAACUCCUUUAUUGUUUGGAAAAAUGUCACAAAUGGUCCUUAUACUUUUACUUAAUGUGUAAUCUCGUCCCUGUACUUUCAAUUUGCUCAAUUUGGUUCCUAAACUAUUGAUAAAUGUUCGAUCUAGUCCCUGAGCUUUUGAUUUGCUUAAUUUGGUCCCUAAACUAUUGAUAAAUAUCCGAUUUAGUCAUUCGGUUACUUUUUUUUUUCUUUUCAUUUAUUAUUAUUUUUUCUUCUUCUCUCUUCCCUCCGCCGGCUCCAGCCGGCAGAGGGAAGUCGGCGUCCAGCGAGGGUUGCCCUCGCCAGAUGCAGGCGAGGGCGGCCCUCACUAGCGUUGGGCGAGGUGCUCCCUCGCUAGAUUUGCAAGGGGCUCCCUCGCUAACGCCGGCGAGGGCCGCCCUCGAUUGCGUCGAGCGAGGGCAACCCUCGCCGGAUGCUGGCUUCCCUUCACCGGCUCCGCCAUGGCAAGGGAGGGAAGAGAGAAGAAGAAAAAAAAAGAAAAAAGAAAAAGAAAAAGAAAAAGAAAAAAGAAAAAAAAGGAAAAAAAAGUAACCCAAUGACUAAAUCGGACAUUUAUCAAUAGUGUAGGGACCAAAUUGAGCAAAUUGAAAGCUCAGGGACUAGAUCGGACAUUUAUCAAUAGUUCAGGGAUCAAAUUGAGCAAAUUAAAAGUUUAUGGACGAGAUUGCACAUUAAAUAAAAGUAUAGGGACCAUUUGUGACAUUUUCCCUUAUUAUUUUGAUCUAACAAAACCUUUCCGAAAGUCUAAUAUGAAGGCUUACAGACGCAAGUGUUAUAGUCUAAAGAAAUCCAAACUCUACUGUUAAAGUUUGAAGAUCGUUAGACUUUAAUCUUAAAGUCUGCUCUCAUUGACAGAUUUCAGAUACGAGUUUAUCUUCGAGGAUUUGGUUUGUAUAAUUUGUGGAAGAUCUUACGGCUGGAUAUUGCACUUUAUAAUCAAUUAUUCUUAUUGAAAUCAAUUUAGAUAAUCAGAUCUCUUGGAAGGCGAAGUAUACUUGGAAGGUUCUACUUAUGGAAACUAAGAUCCUGAUUGUAUGGGCGAGCAUGAUUGAUGGUCUAUCAUUACAUUCCUUAAACGACUCGAGAUCUCCUUAAUUGAUUCUGUCCAAUGGGUAGAUUAGAAGAACUCAUUUGGAAAGUGCCAAUGGUUAUAGAGGCAUAGAGGAGUAUAUAAGGAAGACUCUCAAGUUGUUCAAGAGUGUGCGUGAAAGAAAAAUUUCAAAGUUUGAAACUUCCCAAUUCUUUGCUAUUUCAAUCGCUAAGCUUAACUUAUACUCAAAAGAGAGCGAACACUUGUGAGACUUUGGUGGAGUGUAGUAGAGGUUCUACACUGUAAAGUCAAGGACGUGAGACUGUAAAAUCUCUUUUGUUUCAUAGUGAAAUCCAGCCAAUGGGCUAUCAACCCAGGAGAGUGGACGUAGACUUGAUCUAAGCCAAACCACUAUAAACAUUGUGUUUCUAUUCUCUUUCCCUACAACUCCUUAUUUUAAUUUGUAGCUUUAUAUAACUGUUUAAAGCUAAUUACAUCCUUAUUUUAUUAUCUUCCAAUAGCAAUUUACUAAGUCUUGCGAAAAUUUCUUUCAAACACCUAUUCACCCCCUUUAGGUGUUAAUACUAACCAUUUCAACGUUGAGUUUUGGAGUUUCGGCAACGGCUACAAAGGAUAUUGUGGCGGAGGAGCCUCUCUCUGUCUCUCUCUGUCUCUCUCUCUCUCUCUCCUGUUUUCUUCUUUGGCGGAGGAGAGAGAGAAGUAUGCCAAAGCCAUUAGCCUUCUACUAUGUUCCGGCUUAUUCCUUUCCUUGGCCGGACUGGCUGAUUUCUCUAGUUUUGGUGGAAACUUAUGUUUAGCGUGGCUUAGACUCGUUGUUGCAAUGGUGGCCGCGUCGAUGGCAUCGAAUGGAAUGAAGCGGACUUGGCUUGGUUGGGAGGAGUGUUGACGUUGUGGUGGCACAGAGCAGUGACCAUCAAGGCCUAAUGGUGAAAAAGGCUAGGCAAAGUGAACAUAGAAUAUUGGCCACGUCUCCUCUUUAUUUUUUGUUAUUUUGUGCUUAAUUGCUGAGAUUGUCUUUCAAAAGUUGGAAUGAAUUCUUCUCUUUUCCUUGGUUGAGUAAACCGGUGCCUUGUUAGUUUGCUUUUGCCAUAUCUAAUACUGAACUCUUUCCAUGCACGCUUGAUCACUUGAAGAAGAUUCAUCACUAUAUGCUUCCCUGUUUUGUUCGUAUUGAUAUGGCCAAAUCCUUGACGAUAGGAAAUCACGUGCCCACAAAUUUGGCCUAUAUUCUCAAGAAAAAUAUUUGUGGUAUCUCCAAUGAUGCAUUGCUUAAAUGUGCGCUCUUCCUGUUUUUUACAGUGCCUUCACCAUCACUUCUAUUGGUGAUUAGCCUAAUCUGUAGACUUUUGAUUUUUAAAAUAUUAUGACUCCAUUAUUCUUUUUAAUCAUGUAUCAUUGGGGAAAUUUUAAUCCGGAAUAGCUUUGUGGAAGGCCAAAGUAUUAGCUUGAACUAGUGAUCAUCCCCUUUAAGCAUCACUUUGGUGGCUCUUGUUGCAGCAGUAUCACUACCGCUCAAAAUUAAGACUAAGUGAAAACGAAUUCUGAAUUCUUUUCAACAUUUUUGUGUAUGUGUCCCAAAAUCAAGCUUCGUGGUUCCACCUGCUUAAUAAUACUUCUUAACAUUAAGCAGGGAAGGAAGAUUUUUUCUGCAGAAUCCUCACAUUGAGAAAAGGAAAAGCAAACAUAAAACGAGAAAAAAAUAAAAAUUAAAGGAAGGGCUCCGACUAAAAAACAAGAAAGAAUGAUAGAAAUGUUUUGCAUCACUGCUUGCAAAUACAGGGUGCGUUUGGGAAGACUUUUGGGGAAAGUCUUUGAGAAAAUAUAAAGAUACUUGAGUCAAAGGAAUUUUUCAAAAUGCAAAUUGUGUUUGGUAAAUGGUACUUGUGAAAGUCCAUUGUGAAGUAUCUUUGAGUAAAAUAAUGUUUGGAUAAAUUAAAUUUGCAAAAUACUUUUGUUAUUAAAAAAAAGGGAAAAAAGGAGAGUUGGCCGACCAAGGCUUCGCCGGUUACCGCUGGCGAAGGGUAGGCGGUCCGGCGAGGGGGAGGCAGCGCGGUGAAGGUUAGGCUGUUCGGCGAAGGGCCGCGACCCAGAUCGCGAGAUCCUGGUCACCGCGACCCUCGCCGAGCCGUCGUGCGACCCACCAUGCCAUAGAGGUCGCCGGCGCUCACGAUUUGGUCGCCUCGACCCAGAUUUGCGCGACUAGAUCUGCGCACAAUUUGGGUUGCCGGCGUCCUCCGCGCGGUGACCCUCAUCGAAGGGUCGUGGGACCCUAGUCGGACCACUUGCCCUUCGCCGAACCACCUGUCCUUCACCAGCGACUGCGCGUAGAUGCUGGCCGUGUUCUCAGUAGAGAGAAGGGAAGGAUGAAGACGAUGAACAGUAGUCGGGGUAAAGCCGGAAAAACAAAAAAUUAACAAGGACAAUUUCGGAAGAAAAAUAUUCAUUAUCUUUAAGGCCAGCAUUUCGAGAAUGCCCAAGGCAGCCCCCAACCUGCCUUGGGCUUUCAGCCUUGGGAAGGCUUUGCAUUUGGCAAAGGCAAGUGAAAAAAAGUUCCCAAACACUCAACAUUUGGCUCAAAGGCCUUUAGCCCUUCAAAGGCCCUUGGGAAAGCUGUUCCCAAACGGAGCCAUAAACCCAACUGAUGAUGAAGUAGACAAACAAGAAGUUUAAGCACAUCACAUAUCUUCACGCCCGCAUAUGUUGUCCAUAGUCUCUCUAGCCCUCCGCCUCAAUAUCCGUUGCGGCCGUCGUCAGAACCUCAAAACUUAGUGCUACUAUUGAAAUAUCUAGCCUCCUCCUCACAGCCUAGUUCCGCUUCAAAAUCAUUGGCGACGUAUUGAGCCGAAAAUUAGGAUUGAACUAAGAGUAGAAGACGAAGGAGCAUUCGAGAGGCUGGUCGGUGGUUUUUGGAGCUAGAGCCGGAAAGACAAUGAGGAGGCGGAAAGGCGAAGAAGAAGGAGGAAGGGAGAGGAAGAGAGGAUGGAGAUGGAGGCCUUUGUUGUAGAAGAGAGAGGUCGUGAAGGAGAACCUCAUCUCUACAAAGUGGAGAGAGAGAAGGCAAUGCAUUAAUUUUUACUUGUGGCAGUCCUUUACUCAGUCUGCAGGAGAGAGAAACAAGUGCUAGGAUUCAAAUGUUUUAAUUCCAUGUAAUGGGCACGUGGUGCAAUUUGAAUGGAACACGCACGCCAGGUAGGUGAGUGUGGUAGUUUGAAACCACUUAAUAUUUUUUUGAAUCCUUCUUUGUGCAUCCCAUCUCUUUCGCCUCCGUCUUUGGCUUCGGCUCCGCCUACGCCUGCCCAGAAGCCUCACCGGUCAUCUGCCUUUGGCAUCUUCCGUCUCUAGCAUUUGCUCGUCUUCCCUGUCUCGCUGGCCUCUGUUGCAAAGCCAUCGGCCUCUAGCAGGAGGGAGGCGACCCUGGUCUCGUUCCCAAGCGGCACCAGGCUCCCCGCCACUAAUUGGGCCGCUCGGUCGCAAGGGAGAUCUCAGCGGACUUGGGCGGGGUCGAUGGCACGAAGAAGAAGGAGAGGCGUGGGCUGGAGAAGGAUUCCUGCUUGCUGUGGAGGAGGUAUGUGAAUCGGUUGUACCAACACCGGGAGCUAGGGCUUUUCUUGGACGUGAGCUGGAUCGACUUCAUGGACGAGUUCAUGGAGGAGAUGGAGCCCUAAUUCCAAGCCGCGUUCAAGGCGAUGGAGGAGCUGGAGAAGGGUGCAAUGGCGAAGCCAGACGAGGGCUGUAUGGUCGGGCACCAGUGGUUGAGGAAGUCGGAGCUUGUGCUGACCCAAUCCUGAAGGCGCAGAUUGAGAGCACACUUGACGCCGUUUGCAAUUUCGCUAUUGACAUGGUCAGCGGCAAGGUCAGUUCUGGAAUUUCAUUUGUUGUUACUCUUCGUACGGUAAGAGAGGCUGUAGUUCUUUUUUUUUUUUUUUUUUCGAUUUGCUAUUAUAGUUGCCUGUGUCAGAUUUCCGGUAAAUGUGAACAUUGUCUUAGUUGCUCCAGAAAGCGUGAGUUGAGGAUAAAUUGAAGUGGUUUCUGGUGAAAUAGAUGGAGAGCUCAUUUACGAAACAGUCAUUUGAAAUGACCGUGUAUGGAAAUCUCCUACUCUGAUACGCAGUAGUUUCAAAAUGACAAUUCAAAAGAUUCCGAUUAAUUAAUGUGUAUGAAAAAUAUAUUUUUCCAUUUGAUCUCCAUGGGCAAUACCUGGGCUGUGUACUCUGAGACGCAGUCAGGUAUUAACUCUUUUAGUAUGCAUUAUUGUGUAUGAAAAAUAUCUUUUUCAGUUUGAUCUCUCUUAUUGUUCUAUCGAUAUGCUUUUGUUCUUUAGGAAGCAAUAUUCUUGCCUCCAUGGAUUGCCCUUGCUGUGCGUCCCAGGCCCGGUGUGUGGGAGUACAUUAGGGUAAAUAUCCAUGCCCUUGUUGUUGAGGAGUUGCAAGUGACCGAGUUCCUUCAUUUCAAGGAAGAACUUGUCGAAGGAAAGUAAGUCUUUCUUUUUUCAUUUUUGGCUUUUAGCACCACAUGGAUGCUAGCUUACUUUGCUUUUGUUGGAAGGGCUGUAGGUUACUCGAAUUUGUGGAUUGUUGGCAAUCACAGCAUUACAUCAUGAGAUCUAUAAUAUGCAAAUGAAUGCCUUUUACCUGCUGUAGUUUGAAUGGAAACUUUGUGCUCGAAUUGGACUUUGAGCCAUUCACCGCCCAAUUUCCCCACCCAACUCUUUCGAAGUCCAUUGGAAAUGGAGUGGAGUUCCUCAACCGCCACCUUUCGGCAAAGCUCUUCCAUGACAAGGAGAGGUUGCACCCUCUGCUUGAGUUCCUUCAAGUUCAUUGCUACACAGAAAAGGUAAGCCCAUCGGCAGAUAACACUCAUCUCACUCUCUCGGAUCUACUUCUUAUGCACCGUGUGUAUCACUCAAUUGUAUUAACAAUAUUGUGUAAAUGACAACUCAAAGGAAACAUUGCGACAUUCACAUAACUUCAUGACUGUUGAAAGGACAGUUCAGAGCUGCUCAUAUUUUAGAUGCAUGGACUGAAUCCCUUUUUUUUUCACAAACAAUUACUUGAGACUCAUUUAUGCUGAUCUGUGAUGCAGAACAUAAUGGUCAACACAAGAAUUCAAAAUGUCUUCUCGCUCGAACAUGUCCUGAGGAAGGCAGAGGAGUACCUCUCUGCCCUCAAACCCGAGACACCUUACUCUCAGUUCGAGCACAAGUUUCAGGAAAUUGGGCUAGAGAGGGGCUGGGGCGACACCGCCGAGCGUGUGCUUGAAAUGAUCGAGAAUUUCUUGGGAAGAAUCCCCAUGGUCUUUAAUGUUGUUAUCAUGUUGCCUCUCGGUUACUUUGCCCAAGACGAUGUCCUCGGAUAUCCCGAUACCAGUGGCCAGGUAUCUUGAUUUAGCAUCUCUUGCCAGUAUUUCUACAUGCAAUUCCAUCAUCAUGCGUUGUUCACAUUUUGUAGGUUGUGUACAUCUUGGACCAAGCAUUGGAGAGUGAGAUGCUUCACCGUAUCAAACAACAAGGGCUGGAUAUUACUCCUCGGAUCCUCAUCGUAGGUUCUUGCUUUUUUACUAAUAUUUGAAUAGUUUUUUGCUGGCCAAUCCAACUAACUCGUUAUGUUUGUUUUGUGUCCUACCCCUUUUGGCUGCAGGUCACUCGUCACUCGUCUUCUUCCUGAUGCAGUAGGAACCACGUGCAACCAGCGUCUUGCGAAGGUUUUUGGAACAGAAUACUCCCACAUUCUUCGAGUUCCCUUUAGAACGGAGAAAGGGACGGUGCGAACGUGGAUUUCAUGAUUUGAAGUGUGGCCUUACUUGGAAACAUACACCGAGGUAUAUUAGCUCAUAAGAUUAUACUUUGCGAGGAUUUCUUGUUUGUUGGAAAAAACUUUCUUAUUUGUUUUGAAGCUGACAAAAGUUUCCAUUAGUCUAGUCUGAAGACUUGCAGACUCUUUCGUCAAAGUCUAAAGACCGCCGGACCGCCAGACUCAAGAUUUAAAGUCUACCCUCAUUGACAGUUUCUAAACAGACUUAUUCAGAAUUGAGUAUCUCUUUAAGGAUUUGAUUCUAUCAACUAAAAAAGAUCUCACGGCUGGAGAUAGCAUCUCGGAAUCUAUUAUUUGUCUUGAGAUUAAUUCGGGUAAUUUGGAUCCGUUGAAUAGCGAAGCAUACUUAGAAGGUUUUACUUAUGGAAACCUAGAUCUAUCCAACAGGUAGAUUGGAAGAAAUCCUUUGGAAAGUGCCGAACCACUAUAAGCCUCGUAUUCUUAUUCUCUUCCCUAAACUCAUUUACUUUGUUUGUAAAUUUAUUGAAUUGUUAGAGUCUCAUUUACUUUUACUGUUAAACAGAAUCAGGUUAAAAGUAAAGUUUUACACUAUUUUUUAUAAAAAUUUAUUUUCGCACUUAUUCACACAUUCCAAUCUUUCGUAAUAUGAAGACUAACCUUAUCUUCUCUCAUCAGGAUUUUGCCAAUGAAAUUGCUGGAGAACUACAAGGCAAGCCCGAUCUGAUCGUUGGCAAUAACAGUGAUGGUAACAUUGUUGCUUCUUUGCUGGCCCAUAAAUUGGGCGUUACGUAGGUUUGUCCCUUCCUAGUUUUACUCUCUAUAGUGGCACUAUGAUUAAUCAAAGACUAAAUGCUAAAUAUUAGUUUCUUCUGAUUUAUUAUGCAGUGCACGAUAGCUUAUGCCCUUGAGAAGACCAAAUACCCGGAAUCUGACAUCUACUGGAAAAAAGUUCGAGGAAAAAAUAUCAUUUCUCUUGCCAGUUUACAGCAGAUCUCAUAGCCAUGAACCACACCGACUUUAUAAUCACCAGCACCUUCCAGGAGAUUGCCGGAAGGUAACUGAUCUUUCUUUCAGAUGUGGAUUCAUGCUAAAAUGCUCCUCCAUCUACCGCAAUGUGCUAAACUGCUCAUAUAAUUAUAUGUUUUCAGCAAGGAUAUGGUUGCGCAACAUGAGUCACACCACUUUUACACUUCCUUGACUGUACCGAGGUGUCCAUGGCAUUGAUGUUUUCGAUCCCAAAUUCAACAUCGUGUCACAAGGAGCUGAUAUGAGCGUUUAUUUCUCCUACACGGAGGAGAAGCGGAGGUUGAAAUCUUUCCAUGCUGAGAUUGACGAACUGUUCAGUGAUGUGGAGAACAAGGAACACCUGUGAGUUUUUGGAGUUUUUUUCCCCUCCCAUACUGGACUUGGACCUACAUUAGCAUCCUGUCACCAGGAGCUGAUACGAGCAUUUAUUUCUCCUACACGGAGGAGAAGCGGAGGUUGAAAUCUUUCCAUGCUGAGAUCGAAGAACUAUUCAGUGAUGUGGAGAACAAGGAACACCUGUGAGUUUUUGGAGUUUUUUUCCCCUCCCAUACUGGACUUGGACCUACAUUAGCAUCCUGUGUUUUGAAUGAUAAUGUUCAAGUUCAAACAAAAGCUGACAUGGAUGUGUUGGUUAAUGUCAAAACAGAUGCGUAUUGAAGGACCGGAACAAACCAAUCUUGUUCACCAUGGCAAGACUGGACCGUGUCAAGAACUUGACUGGGCUGGUCGAGUGGUACGGAAAGAACACCCGCCUGAGAGCUGGUCAACUUGGUUGUGGUCGGUGGUGACCAGAGGAAGGAAUCUAAGGACUUGGAAGAGCAAGCCGAGAUGAAAAAGAUGUACGGGCUGAUUGAGACGUACAAUUUGAAUGGCUAGUUCAGGUGGAUCUCCUCCCAGAUGAACCGGGUGAGAAACGGAGAGCUUUACCGGUACAUCUGCGACAUGAGGGGAGCCUUUGUGCAGCCUGCUCUCUACGAGGCUUUUGGACUGACAGUGGUGGAGGCCAUGACAUGUGGAUUGCCGACCUUUGCAACUUGCAAAGGCAGUCCUGCUGAGAUCACUGUGCACGGCAAGUCUGUAUUCCACAUUGAUCCUUAUCACGGGGAUCAGGCAGCGGAGAUCCUGGCGGACUUCUUCAAGAAGUGCAAGGUGGACCCAAGCCGCUGAGACAAGAUCUCACAGGGGGCGAUGCAGAGAAUCGAGGAGAAGUAAGGACCGGGAUUCUUGUUAGGUUCAAUCUUUGAUAGGGAAAAAGAGCACAUUUCAACUUGUUCAAGAAACAAGUGGGUAACAUGUGUUGCUUUGCUUCUGGCAGAUAUACAUGGCAAAUUUACUCCGAGAGGCUACUUCAAGAGGCUGCUCAACUUGGUGGCGGUGUACGGCUUCUGGAAGCACGUCUCGAAUCUCGACCAUCUCAAGAGCCACCGCUACCUGGAAAUGUUCUAUGUCCUCAAGUAUCAGAAAUUGGUAAGAGACUCGGCUUCUCAUCAGAUCAUGAGCGCGACAAUCUGCACGCAUAUUUUGACUCCUUGUUCGAAUAUUCACACACUGCUCCUUUGUCUUGACAGGCCGAGUCGGUUCCCCUUGCCGUUGAGUGAGUUAGAGGUGAACAAAAGGGCAUAUCUCAAGAGGCAGACAGCUCCAAAUUCUCUCGAGAGUUGAGGAAUAAUUGCCAUUGCAUUGGAUUGGAAGAGAGCCUUUUCUUUUGCUUUUCUUUUUGCAACUGCUUUUGUCAAUCUUUCUUUUGCUUCUUUCUGCUGUGAAUGUAUGUUGGGUUAGGUUCUUCAAAAAGUCAAUUCAAUGAAAUUUCCUUCUUCUUUUCCCCAGUGUCCCCUCAAGUUACCUGUUGUCUUCCACUUGUAAGUUCACGUUCAACCAUUUUUCCUUCGCUUUUAAGCUAGCAAUGUGCAUCCAAAUGUGUUACUCGGAUCAACGACGGUAGCGAGUCCCUUGAAUAUAGCACAAGACUAUCCAAAAAAAAUAAAAAAUUGCCGAGGCAAAAUAAGUCUUUUAAAAUAAAUCACAAGGAAAACUUAUAUAUCAGAAUUGACUGUUUGUUCCAGUCAGCUGUACACAUCUGACGUAUGGAGAGAGGACAAUCAAUACAAAAGAACAGGAGGUGGAGAGAGCUCGCACCGUACAAUUUAAUGUUGAUUCUGUUAUUUAUACACACAUCGACACAACGCACUAUCAAAAUUGCCUUCUAUUUCUGAGGUAUUCUAUUUCUAUCUACACCUUCAUGAGUAAAAGAAGAAAAAAAGCAGCGGAGGCUAAAACCAUCUCCCAUUACCGAUGCGCCUACCCAGAAAUAGAAUGCAGAGAGUUCCAUACCCUCCAAAUCGUGCAUCAAUCCACUAGUCAUGUAGCUACUCCCGUAUGGGUCUUGUAAGUUCCUUUUUCAUGACGGCUUCUCUUGGAUAGAACAUAAUUGCCAGCACCAAAGAGAAUGUAAGGCCAACUAUCCCGCUGAAUGGUUGGAAAGGAUGAGUCCCCGUUAUCCAAAGGGGGAAAUUGGGGUUGUAGAUCAAAAAGCCACCUGAUUGGAGUGUAACUUGAGACUAAUAUCCCUGCACGGAGCCCAAUUGGAACACAGAGGCUACCUUCACUAAUUUGUCGAAGCCCGGCCAAGCUUAGUGGUAAGAGCCACAGCCCAGGUAUUGCCCAUGGAGACCUGAAAUGCGGCGGAUAAGUCAAGUAUCUUUGAUGUUGACUCAAAGGGAAGAUCAGGUUAUAAGAAAAUUGAUCAAGUACAUGAUGGAAACAUGAACUAGGUUCGAAGCAGACGCUUUAACCUAAAAGAGAAAGGAUGAAAGAUCAAGCUAAGAAGAAAGAACGUUGUCCUCAUUGUAGCUGCUAAAGAAUGUGACAUGACAAUAACAGAUCUAAGCCUUUCAAGAAGGCAAGUUUGGCAAGUCAUAAGUUUGCCUUCAUCGUCAGAAUGUUUAUUAUGUAAACUUCUCUCGAUAAAAAAAAAAACAAAAAAUUUGCAAGCAUGUUCAAUCUAGAACCAAGAUUUCAGUAAGAACAGUUUAGCAGUGUUGCAUGAUUACUUCAAAAUAGAAAAAGGUGGUCACCAAGUUACAACCUGAUUUCCAGGAGUGCUGAUUUGCUUGUCAUAUUUUGAGUAACAUGCUUUUCCUGGCCCCAAUAGACAUUUUCCCGCAACAAAUGAAGAACAGAAAACUGAAGCAUGACUUAAUUAAAGCAAUGUACGUCCGGAACAGGGAGAAUGCAAGCCUUGACAAAAUAAUUCCCGGGUGAUAUCCAAGAUCAGCAGCAAUGUCUUCAGUUAACCAUGAUCUGAAAAACAACUCUUCCACAAGGGCAACAGAAGUUGCUGAACAGCACCUCGACCAACCAAGAUGAGAAUUUGCCCAUAUGACUUGAGCCUUGUCAUGGCAUCUAAAGACGAUGAAUGAAGAAUUGGAGGCCAAGAAAAACUCACGCAGCCUAAUAAUGAAUUAACAUACUGUAUGGACAAAACAAGCAAAAUUCCCCCAACCAAACUGCUAAAAAAAGCUUGGAUCUGCAAACAAAAAGCUGAAAUGAGCUCAUUAAGAAGAAAUCCCUGGGAAACAUCUCAUGCAUAGCAACUCUGAUGAAGUAAAGCCAGUGCAGCACCACAGAAGAAUUUUUAAAAAGAGAACGAACUGCAAUGAAUCUUAGGUCAGUAGCAAAGGCAUAUAAGAAGAAACCAAACAGCUGGACUUGUUUGAACCACAUUAUUCAAGCUCGUGAUAUUCAACUCACUGCAUUAGCUUUUCAAAUGGAACUUGAGUUUACUAAAAUUUGCUUUGAAUGGUAUGCAAGCCAAAUCUAGUAUUUAGUGACUGUUAUAAUAUGUCUAAUGGCUUUUAUUAUGGCAUUUACACUCUAUCCAUGGUCUCUCUCUCCCCCCCUCCCCCCCCCCCCCAAAGCACACACUAUUUUUUGGAUUGGGCUCCCUCACUAAUCAUCUUUUCAUCAAAGUUUUUGUUCUUGUUCAACUCUGCUCUAGUUAGUAUCUUUAAAGAGAACAUGAAACUCAAUGACUUGUCGGUGAAACUUCUAUAGGCAGGGGGAAAAAACCUAGGACCAAAACCUGUUUUGCAAAUUCCAAUCCCGUUUCAUGAAAGGCCUUAUGUACUUCCAAUAAGCCAUUUCUGGUUUCAGGAUUGCCACCACUCUGUAGGAUAGGAAAUAACAAUGGAUUACUAUAUAUUCUUCUAAUCUGCAUAAAGGAGAGAUCACAAAGCAAAAUACAUGCACGCACCUUUGAUAUCACAAUAACUAGGGUAGAAGAGGGCUUAGGACCAAGGUGCGCACUUUGAUGGUCAAUUCCAGUCGGAUCUGUGUUGUCAAUGAAUCUAAUCUGCCAAAAGUAAAAUUGAGAUAUCAUCUAGACCGUCAAAAGUCAAAAAGUCGCUAACACAGGGUAUUCACCCAAUGUGCCGAGACUCAUAACUAAACAUUCAUCCAUAGCUUGUAACUUUACUUAAAUCUGAUGCGCAAAAUCUAAAGGACGAAGACAGAAGACCUAUGUACAGUUUGAUCAACCAAAGUAGAUCUUUUUUCAUUGUGCAUAAGUGAAUCAAGCAGCAUAUACACUUGCUCCAAAUAAUGGAGGAGAAAUGUGAGCAGGAAGUAUACAGGGAAGGGAGUUGGAUCAUUUUCAUAUCUAUAGUGAUGAACUUGCAACGAAAAGCCCAAAGUGGAAUGAUAUCACGACUAAUCCAAGUAGGAAGAAUAGCAUUAAGAGAACUGCUCACUUGAGGGAAGAGUUGCCAAGACUUGAGAAAUAAUUUUAACUAGUAGAAACGGCAAGAAAGGAUGAAGACAAACAAGCCACCACCAACUCAUCUACAAUGUCUGAAGACACCUUCAAUGGAGGAUUAUCGGGAGCCAAUGCCUUUGCAAUAAACUGUGGCCCAAGAGUUGAACCCCCAAUUCCAACUGAAAGUACUUGAGUAAAGCGAUCCACGGGAGAAGUAGGAGGGGGAUUAACUUGCAAAUUAAGCAUCAAACAUUAUCAAGUCAAUCAUUGCGUCCGUGUCCAAUACAAUCAGCUUGCACCCUAAAAAAAACUGAAUUUCAUGCUGACAUUAAUCGGGAAAGCAGUAGUCAUUUUGAAACUACUGCGUCUCAGAGUAGGAAAUUUCCAUACACAGUCAUUUCAAGUGACUGAUUCAUCAAUGAGCUCUCCAUCUAUUCCACUAGAAACCACUUCAAUUUAUCCUCAUCUCACGCUUUCGGGAGCAACUAAGACAAUGUUCACAUUUACCAGAAAUCUGACACAGGCAACUACGAUAGCAAACCGAUAAAAAAAGAAAAAAGAAAAAAGAAAAGCAAGAAACUACAGCCUCUCUUACCACACAGAGAGCAACAAUGAAUGGAAUUCUAGAACUGACCUUACCACUGACCACGUCGGUAGCGAAAUUGCAGAUGGCGUCGAGUGUGCUCUCAAUUUGCACCUUUAGGAUCAGGUUGGCCAUCGCGAUCUACAAGCUCUGUCUUCCUCAACCAGUGGUGCCCAACCAUGUGGCCCUCGUUCGGGUUUGCCAUCGCACCCUUCUCCAGCUCCUCCAUCGCCUUGAACGCAGCCUGGAACUGGGGCUCCAUCUCCUUCAUGAACUCGUCCGUGAAGCCGAUCCAGCUCACGUCCAGGAAAAGCCGUAGCUCCUAAUGCUGGUACAGCCGAUUCACGUACCUCAUCCAUAGCAAGCAGGAAUCCUUCUCCAACCCAUGCCUCUCCUUCUUCUUCACGCCAUCGACCCCGCCUAGGUCUGCGGAGAUCUCCCUUGCGACCGAGCGGCCCAGCAUCAGAAUCAAUGCCUAGUCAGCGGUGGGGAGCCUGGUGCCGCUUGGGAACGAGACCGAGGCCGCCUCCCUCCUGCCAGAGGCCGAUGGCUUUGCGGCGGAGGCUGGCGGGACGGGGAGGAUGAGCAAAUGCUAGAGACGGAGGAUGCCAGAGGCGGAUGACCAGCGAGGCUUUUGGGCAGGCGUAGGUGGAGCCAAAGACAGAGGUGGAGGAGGUGGGAUGCACGGAGAAGGAUCCGAGAAAAUAUUAAGUGGUUUCAAACUACCAUGUCACUCGUCUACCUGGCGUGUGUUUUCCAUUCAAAUUGCGCCAUGUGCCCAUGACAUGGAAUUAAAAAAUUUGAAUCCUAGCGCUCAUUUCUCUCUCCUUUAGACUGAGUGUAGGACUGCCAUAAGUAAAAUUAAUGCAUUGCCUUCUCUCUCUCUCUUCUUUGUAGAGAUGAGGUCCUCCUUCGGGACCUCUCUCUUCUGCAACAAAGGCCUCCAUCUCCAUCCUCUCCUCCUCUCCCUUCCUCCUUCUUCAUCUUUCCACCUCCUCAUUGUCUUUUCAGCUCCGGCUCCAAAAACCACCCACCGGCCUCUCGAAUGCUCCUUCGUGUUCUACUCUUAGUUCGAUCCUGAUUUCCGGCUUGAUACGUCGCCAAUGAUUUUGAAGCGGAACUAGGCUGCGAGGAGGAGGCUAGAUAUUUUAGUAGUAGCACUAAGUUCUGGGGUUUUGACGACGGCUGCAACGGAUAUUGAGGCAGAGGGCUAGAGAGGACUAUGGACAACAUAUGCGAGCAUGAAGAUAUGUGAUGUGCUUAAACUUCUUGUUUGUCUGCUUCAUCAUCCGUUGGGUCUAUAUUUGCAAGCGGCGAUGCAAAACAGUUCUAUCCUUCUUUCUUGUUCUUUAGUCGGAGCCCUUCUUUUAAUUUUUUUUUCCUCAUUUUAUGUUUGCUUUUCCUUUUCUAAAUGUGAGGAUUCUACAGAAAAAAUCUACCUUCCUGCUUAAUGUUAAGAAGUAUUAUUAAGCAGGUGGAAUCACGAAGCUUGAUUUUGGGACUUAUACACAAAAAUGCUUAAAUGAAUUUGGAAUUCGUUUUCGCUUAGUCUUAAUUUUGAGCGGUAGUGAUACUGCUGCAACAAGAGCCACAAAAGUGAUGCUUAAAGGGGAUGAUCACUAGUUCAAGUUAAUACUUUGGCCUUCCACAAAGCUAUUCCGGGUUAAAAUUUCACCAAUGAUACAUGAUUAAAAAGAAUAAUGGAGUCAUAAUAUUUUAAAAAUCAAAAGUCUACAGAUUAGGCUAAUCACCAAUAGAGGUGAUGGUGGGGGCACUGUCAAAAAAAGGAAGAGCGCACAUUUAAGGAAUGCGUCAUUGGAGAUACCACAAAUAAUUUUCUUGAGAAUAUAGGCUAAAUUUGUGGGCAGGUGAUUUCCUAUCGUCAAAGAUUUGGCCAUAUCAAUACUGUCAAAACAAGGAAGCAUAUAGAGAUGAAUUUCUUCAAGUGAUCAAGCGUGCAUGGAAAGAGUUCAGUAUUAGAUAUGGCAAAAACAAACUAACAAGGCACCCGUUUACUCAACCAAGAAAAAGAGAAGAAUUUGUUCCAACUUUUGAAAGACAAUCUCAGCAAUUAAGCACAAAAUAACAAAAAAUAAAGAGGAGACGUGGCCAAUAUUCUACGUUCACUUUGCCUAGCCUUUUCCGCCAUUAGGCCUUGAUGGUCACUGCUCCGUGCCAUUACGAUGUCAACACUCCUCCCAACCAAGCCAAGUCCGCUUCAUUCCAUUCGAUGCCAUCAACGUGGCCAUCAUUGCAGCAACGAGUUCUGAGCCACGCUAAACAUAAGUUUCCACCAAAACUAGAGAAACCAGCCAGUCCGGCCAAGGAAAGGAAUAUGUCGGAACAUAGUCGAAGGCUAAUGGCUUUGCCAUACUUCUCUCUCUCCUCUACCAAGAGGAAAACCAAGAGAGAGAGAGAGAGAGAGAGAGAGAGAGAGAGAGAGAGAGAGAGAGAGAGAGAGAGAGAGAGAGAGGCUCCUCCGCCACAAUAGCCCUUGUAGCCAUUGCCAGAAUUCCAAAACUCAGUGCCACAACUGAACUAUCCAACCUCCUCCUUGCAGCCUAGUUACAAUUCAAAAUUGUUGGUGACAUAUCUGAGCCGGAAAUGGGGAUGAACUAAUAGUAGAAGAUGAAGGAGAGUUCGAGAGGCCGGUUGAUUGUUUUUGGAGUUGGAGACGGAAAGACGAGGAGGAGGCGGAAAGGCGAAGAAGAAGGAGGAAGGGAGAGGAAGAGAGGAUGGAGAUGGAGGCCUUUAUUGCAAAAGAGAGAGGUCGUGAAGGAGGACCUACAAAGAGGAGAGAGAGAAGGCAAUGCAUUAAUUUUUACUUGUGUCAAUCCUUUACUUAGUCUGUAGGAGAGAGAAACAAGCGCUAGGAUUCAAAUUUUUUAAUUCCACGUCAUGAGCACGUGACGCAAUUUGAAUGGAACAUGCACGUCAGGUAGGCGAGUGAUGUGGUGGUUACAAACCAUUGAAUAUUUUCUCCAAACAGAGGAAGUCUCAGUCAUUCUUUGUUCUUUUAGGAGGAGAGAGAACCCAAAAAAUUCAAGUGAGGAGAGAUAUUUUGAGCGGGGUAUUACGCAUUUAUUGACCCUUGACUCGUCCUUUUUUCUGUAGCGGAGCAAAGUUGAGCCAUCCGAUAGGUAGCCCUUCCAUUUUCCAUUAGGUCCCGCUCACGAGACACGUGUCGGUAUCUCAUUGAUAGAUGCGCACCACGUGAGCGGAUGACGUGGCACGCUCAUACCAUUGAAUAUUUUCUUAGGCAAGGAGAAAAAUGGACAAAAGUAGAAAAAUGACAAAGCUGUGCUCUUAAAAGUUAACCAUUAUUUGGAUUUUUUUUCAAAUAAAAGUACUAAUAUCAUUGAGGGUGAGAAAAUUAGUUGAACCAGCAAGUCUUUUGGUAGCACUUGUAGGUGUAAAAUCAUAAAUACACUAGGCACGGUGCCGAAAUACGCUCUUGGAUCGCUUACGGAGGUGGAUUAGUUAAGGUGAACGAAAGCUGGGGAGAAUGAGGCUGCAUUUGUUUGUAUUUCUUUUUUUAUUAUUAUUUUUAAACACUUUUUCUGUUUUUUUGUUCCUUGGAACAAAAAAGGAACAGAAAUGCGUUUGGACGCGUUUCUGUUCCUUUUUUGUUCUUUUGUUCCCAGGAACAAAAAAGAAACAGAAACAAGAAACACAAAUUUUGUGUUUCUUGUUUCUGAAACACAAAUCAGAAACAAAAAAGGAACAAAAUUGUGUUCAUUUUUUAUUUCUUGGAUAGUGCUCGAACAACGCCUCUCUCCCCCCCGCGACGAGCUUCUCCUCCUGCGACCUGCGACGAGCGUCUCCUCCUGCGACGAGCAUCUCCUCCUGCGAGUAGAGAAUUCCAUCGUCUUCUCCGGCGCCGACAGUGGCCUCUGUCUCGACAGCCGCUACUCCUUCACCAGGUAAACGUGGUUACUGCUCCUCCUUCACUGAUUGUCUUCACUUCGGCGAGAGCUCGAGUGUUAGGGCUCGCUCGAGCCAGCGCUUGCCUAGAUCUGCGAGCCGCUUGCUCGAGCGAGUCUCACAGAUCUGGGCGAGCGUUGCUCAUCCAGAUCUGCGAUAGCAGCUCGUCUGCUCGCUCGAGAUCUGGGCGAGCGAGCAGAGCAGCGAGCGUUGCUGCUGCUCAGGCUCGAGCGAGUAGAGCAGCGAGCGUCGCUGCUGCUCAGGCUCGGCUCGAGCGAGCAGAGCAGCGAGCGUCGCUGUUGCUCAGGCUCGAGCGAGCAGAGCAGCGAGCGUCACUGCUGCUCAGGCUCGGCUCGAGCGAGCAGAGCAGCGAGCGUCCCUGCUGCUCAGGCUCCAGCGAGCCGCCCGCUGUGUGUCGGAACUGGAACCAUCGGCGGUUCUUCUGCCGUGCCCAAUGGUGCUGGCACUGGUGAUAGGGGAAAGGGCACGAAACGGGCCAAAUAUCUAGCCUUUGCUGGCGUUCCUCGACACCAUGACGAGUUGCUGUUCUAUUGAUCUUUGUCCCGCGAUCCUGUUGUUCUGUGGCAAAAAAAACGAUGCCCUAUCUAGGCCAAUAUCUUCCAGUGGGUAUUUUCCUAGUCUUUCUCCAUUUAUUGAUCUAUUAAUGUCAAUCGAAGUAGUUAGCAAGAAUCAUGCAAAUGCCUGAAUCGAGCGAGCAGAGCAGCGAGCCCUGCUCUGCUCUCUCGAGCGCUCGCAACAGCGAGCAUAGAAGUUAUUGUUGCCAAGCGAGCGUCUGCUGCUACACUUUUCAUUGUGUGUGGACUAUCAAUUGACAACAUCGGGCAUGACAAAAUAGCCUUUUAUCACUCUCAAAGUUCUAUACAUUAUUGUUUCUUUAAUCUCAAUCUCUAUGACAUCAUGUAGAUCUAUGGAUUUGUGGCUGAAUAUAUCAAAGUGAUGUGAAUCAAUGUCGAAGUUAUUGUUAUUUAUUUUUCUGCCUUUGUGUUAAAGCUUCUCAAUUUGCGUUUUGUCCCAUAUUGCUUGGAUUUGGUCUAAUAUUAGUAUUUUCUGUGUGUCUCUAUGAACCCUUGCGACUCAGCCACAUUUUGAUCCAAUCGGAAGUCGAGGAAGAAAAAGGAAAAAAUGGGUGUUAAAAGUGAGAAAGACAAAAGGAAGAAGAUGACGCCCGAAGAAGAGAACGUGUAGAGGGGUAGACUAAAGGGGAGGAGAAAAAUAAAAGUGAAAGAAAAGAAAAGAACAGAAAAAAAAAGGCACGUGAGAAGAACAACGUUGUCGACUUGUUCAUUUAGUACAUUCUUUGUGAAUCUAUAAGAACAACGUUGUUCGACUUUUUUUUUUUGUAGGAAUGUUGGGGAUUAUACACUUAUCAAAUCCAAUGUGAUGUUUCCGACUUUUGUAAUUUUGUUUUUAAGUAUUCACUUAUCAAAUCCAAUGUGAUGAAGUUGAACGAUGAACUAUAUUACUUCAUUAUUGUGAUGUUAUGUAUGAAAGGGUCUACGUAGAGAUCUAUGCAGUAUUCUUCUUUUAGGUAGCUCUUAUUGUGGGAUUUUUACUUACGAAAUUUUGUUCCAAGUAUGCACAUGACCAUGUUCAAAAAGUUUGUCUUCACCAACCAUGAACAAAAUUAAAUUGAUGAGCAUUUCAUUAGAGUGAUAAUGCAAUACCAAGUUUACACUUUAUUGAAAAAAAAGGCACGUGAGAAAAAUUUGGAACAAAGUUUAUUUAUAAAAUUUUCUUUAGAGUAUGCACUUAUAACCAUGUUCAGAAUGAUUGACUUUACUCACCAUGAACAAAAUUAAAUUGAUGAACAUUUUAUGAUAAUGAGAAUUAAAAGUCAAGUUUACACUUUAUUUAAAAAAAAAUAAAUGGGAAAAUUUUGAUACGAACUUAAAAAAAUUUCUUCCGACUAAGCAAAUAUGAUCAAGUUUAGAAUGUUUGUUUUCACUUAAUAUGAACAAAAUUAAAUUGAUGAGCAUUUCAUGAGAAUGAUAAUUCAAUACCAAGUUCACAUUUUAUUAAAAAAAAAAAUAAUUGAAUAGAAAUUUUGUACAUUACCAAACGUGUUUCUGUUCUUUUUCUAUUCCAGAAACAGAAAUUUUAUACAGUUACCAAACGUGUUUUUUUGUUCAGAAAUUGUUCCCAGGAACAGAAACACUUUUUUCUAUUUCUGUUUCCUGGAACAAUUUUUAAAUAGAAACGCAAACAAACGCACCAUGAAUUGCUUGAUCGUCAACCCGGCCUUGAAAUUAGGGACCCUAAACUCAUUUGAACUCUCGAGUCCAAGCCCACAUGAGCCCGGCUGCUUGAUGAAUUUGGCCAUUACCCCUUCGGCCUGGCCAACACUUACGUGUGAGAUAUUUAUGUGCCAUUCCCGAUGGGGAGACACUAUCGAAAAGAAAAGUGAUUAAAGAGGAGCAGCUUCGGCCGGACCCAGACAAGGGGCAAAGAAGGCUCGACCGAGCAUGGAAAGGACGAAGAGAGGAAAUAGACUUUAGCCGGCGCUCAUCAAUGGAAGUGAAUCUCAGCUGGCGAAAAGAAGGGAAGGCCAAUUUUGGUCACAAAUUCACAUAAUCUCGCCAGCAGAGGGCACACAUUCUCAGUUGGACAGAAUAUGUUCGGCCAUAUAUUCACAUAUUCUCUGGAUAGAACUCAUGGCUGAACGCAUUUCGCGCAAGACUCAUGGCCAAAGAGAACUCACUAGGCCAAAUACUCUUUGAUCACGCACAUGCCAGGUGAAGACGAGAAGAUACUCGGCUGAGAUCGCAUAGACUCACGCUAAACAUGUUCAUGAGAGGACGUGAGAACAAAAACAGAGAUUGUAUACUCAAAGGAAAAAAAAAAUAACAAUUCGUCAUAAUGCCGAUUCAAGUAAAACCAUAAAACUCCAGAUCAGGUAUGAUGUGGUUAUCGAUGAGCUACCGAUGCUAAAAUUUUCUUAUCGAUCAGCCUUUGGCUGUGCUCUCUGCUUCUGAAAUCUGAAGAAGAGGACGAGCACGUUUCACAGUCAAAUGCAUGCGAGCGUUUCUCACAGACCCGUGACCGAAGCAAAUCUCAAAGUUCUAGAAGGACUAUUGUCAAGCUCCGUCGGUGAGCAAAUAGCAACCACGACUCCAUUCCCAAUCAGGUAGGCACUCCCUCGAAUAUUCUGUCUUUCCCUGCUAUUUGGGAAUCAAGGACAUUGAGUUCAAUUGACAAAUUCGCAGCUCAAUCGUGUGGAACCGAGACUGAUCUGUGAGAGAUAAUGAUUAUUUAGAGGUUGAUAUAUCGUGUCUAGACUGUAAAUGACAUUGAAUCCUAUUCUGGAAUUACUUUUUCAAAUUGCAUAUCAGCCGUUCGACAAAAUGCCUGAAUGGAGUACUAAAAUGGAUUUAUGAAAUUCGACAAUUAGAGCCUCCUUUUAUGCUCGAUUUGUUCUUAGAUUGUUGAAAUUGAUACUAAAUCUGUGUUUCUCUUUGAUUUUGUAGCAUAUCGUUAGAUGAACGAGUCGGCUGUGAUACACCUCGGCGAGACGCCAUUCCUUUAGCCAGAGAAAGGCCACGGUUAGAGGCCACCACAGUCAAUUCUUUCUUCAUCGUUUGAAUGUGCAUAUGUUUUUGUUUUUCUAGAAUUGGUUAUCGUUUGAGAUGUAUGUUCUCGGUUAUCUUGACGUUGCUGGGACUGGUAUGGUGUUAGCCGAAGAUGAUUUGGUGAUGGUGGGCAACAUUGGAUAUCGACGGGGGACGGUUUGGAGUUCUUGCGUGAGUUCGUUUGAUGAAGUUUCAGUGUUGAGCUCGCCGCGUUGGAGAGCUCUUGGUGAAGUCUCGGGAGGGAAGAAGGGCAAAAAAGGAAAAUAAAGAAAAAAAAUUAGAAAAUAGAAAAAUAAAAAUAAAAAUCGAAAAUAUAAAAAGAGGCUGCAUAUGUUGAAUUCGGGUUGGGUCAAACUUAUAGGCGGACCGGGCUAGAAUUAUCAAAGGACUAGGCCGAGCCGAACAAUUAAUUUCAAUGUUUGGGCCAUACUCGGGCCAAGCUCUAAGUUUGACCUGAGGUUACACUCCAACCCAGACUGCUAGGGUCUGGGUCAGGCCAGUGGUUGGCACCGAGUUAGCCGAAGUCCAUUUUCUAAAAUUAAAAAAUAAAAAAUGGAAAAUUUAAAAAAAAUUAAGAAUUUUUUUUAGAAAUUAGAUACUAAGAAGGUUUUAUUAGAUUUUGGUUUUAAUUCUAGUUUUAAACUAGUUUAGCAUAAAAAAUGUGAAAAUCUUUUGAUGACAAUCGGACCUAAAAUUAAAUAAGCCUUUACGACUUUACAAGAUUAUUUGUGAAUGAUUUCUUUUUUAGAGACAAGUUAUUGUUUGUGCACUUUCUUUUUACUUUACUUGAUUGUACACUUUCAAAACAUUGGUUUUUUUUUUUUCUUCUUUUUUAGAAUGGUUAGGAUGCAUUUUAGGAUUUUUGAUUGGUAAAAGACUGCCCUAACACUUUGCUUAGCAAAUAGUCAAGUUUAGAUAUCAAAAUGGCACUAGUUAGAUCAUUAGUGUAAUUAAGUCCUUGAUCCUUGAAUCUCUAGUUCCUUAAGAAUUAAGAUGAAGCUCCCACGUCUCAAUUGGUUUCUAAUCGACCGUAAAUGACUAGAGGCGACUCUUAAGAAUAUUUAGAUUGUUGAGAACUUAAAAGAAAUUGCGUGUUAGGUGAGGUAUGACAUUAUUGAUUAAUGAACCUUUUCUUAGAUAGUUGAAAAAAUGAUUUGUUCGAAUUGUAUUUUCAAUGAACCACUAGGACUAUCUCUUCUUGGACACUUCUAAACCUAUAUUCUCGAGCUUGGCCCCUCGACGAGUAAAUCACAACAGAGAUCAUGGUGUGAUUUUGGAGGAGUAACCGUUUCCUAGAGACAAGUUGUUGUCAUGGCAACGUGAAGAUGUGGAGCCAAAAAUCAUGAAGACAAGAAGAUGUAGUUGAAACCCCUAGAGAACUGCAUGUAGGCAGUUCUGUUCUAAAUACUGUAUAAAUUAAUGCUCGUAUAAUGUUGGUUGUUCUUGUAAUGUAGAUUCCCCUCAGAACAAACCACAAAAACUUGUUAUUCUUCAAUUCUCAUACACCAAUUGUAAUUUUCAGAUGUUUUGUCAUUAAUUAAAUUCAGAUGUGUAUCUUAAUUGUAGCUUCCAGAUCUUCAUUGUCGAUUCAAUUCCGGCGUUAUAACUUUAUGUCAUUUUAUUUUGUUGCUGAUCGGCCAAGCUUUUUAUGUCAUUAGACUUCAUCGUUGAUUAAAUUCCAAUGAAAGUUGUUCUUGGUGUUCCAUUGAUACAACACAUGUCUGGAAUCACCACAAAACUUGUCUCAUUUUAAAAAAAACUAAAGAAUGAACUUUGUUUAUAGAUAUCUCAUUGUUGACCAAAUUCCAUUGAUACAUUUUUUGUUUAACGUCUGGUGAGACUUGUGUGGUUCGAGUUGAGGAACUGCGAUGGUGAGGACAAGGAAUCUGUUAGAUACUUAUGAUGCCAUUGGCAACAAUUAGUUGCUGCAACAUGGCAAUGACGAGAUAAGGCAUUCUGAAUCAUAAACCACUCAAGCAUAAAUCAUGUCCCCAACACAAAUCACAAAUUGGUACUGCUUACUCAAAUCUACAGUCCAUUAGCACUUUGGUAUAUGGGGUGGAGGGUAGAUUUAAAUCAAGAGUACUGGUUUGACAUUUUUCGUUAGACGAAAAUUAAUUUGGAUAAAUUUGUUAUAAGAGUAUCAAUUUGAGAUUUUCAAUGGUAGGGAAAAAACAACCAAAAAGCCCAACUAUAUCCAUUGUAACACAUUUAGCAUAAACUUUUUUUUUUAGACAUAAAAAAUUCUAAACUUAUACUCGUGGGAUGUAUUUAGCCUAAACUAGUCCUAGAUUAAACCGUACAAAGUUUUUUGAAAGAAUUUAUGUUGUUGUGUAUGCUAAUACUUAAUAAAACACUAAUUGAAAUUCCAUGGUAUAUAUUAUCCAUGGAUAGGAUAAUUACGUUACUUUUUCUAUUAAUUCCUAAAUAUGCGAUAUUCAAUCUUUAAAAAUGCUAGAGCAAUUUCUCAUAGAACUUUUUAUUUGGCUUGAACAAUAUGACAAGAUUUAUUUCUUCAAAUAAAAACCAAUGCUCUCUCUCAACAUUUUUUCCCCUCUAGUUGCUCAAUUCAUGGAAUGUGAUCUAAACCGCACCAUUAUUAAAGAGGAAUAACAUGCUGUUAGGUUAGCAAUGUUCCAAUAAAAAUUGAUGUCAUUGAUUGUGCAUCGACUAUGAUUUCAAAUAUAAUAUUAAGUUGAAAAAUUGUUGAUGAAGCGCGAGAGGUGACAAAGAGGAAUCUCUUUAGUUAGGCUAUAGCAAUAAAGCAAAGGCAUUGGCUAAACAAAGUCAAUGCCAUUUGUGAGUAUCCACUAGUAAUAGGACAUUCUGUUGUCUACGAGGAAGUAAUAAAUAGGAUCUCGAUCAAAACGUGGGAUCUGAAAUAUAGUCGACGAAUAAAUAAUAUGAUUGGCUGUGAGAAGCCAAUAAAACUAAGUUCACAAGGGGGGAAUAAUUUACAUUUAUCAACUAAUAGCCGAAUUGGUAUUAGUCGAGUCAAAAAGUACUAACAUCAAUUCACUAAGUUUAAGUGAAAUCAAAUCCAUUAGAGGGACAAAAAUAGCUGGAACAAUUAUUGUAGUCAAACUAUUAUGAGGGAACAAUUAUCAAAGGUUUGAUGGACAAUUGCGGUCAAGCAUUAAUUGAAGUUGAGUCAAUUAGUUAUUGCAGUCAAGCUCCCAAGGGGAUCAAUUAUACCAUCAAAUAUGGAGCCGAAAUUUGAUUUCAAUGAGUGCAAAUAGUUAUUAUGAGAGGCUAGCCACCCAUCGGAGUAUACAAAGAGCACGUGAGGAAAUGAUGCGCACAAACAUCCGAAAAACAAGAUUUACUGCGCAUGAGGAAAUGACACGCACAAACACCCGAAAAACAAGAUUUACUUCUGUCAAUGCACUUGUUUACAAUUUAUUUUCGCUCGUUUCACAGCGAUUUAUUUCUAAUCAUGCUAGUUGUUUAUUUCUUUUUAUCCAUCAACACGUGCCCUCAUUCCUUUGGAAAGACGUGUUGUCAUCAGUCGAUUCAUUUCAUCAGUUUUUAAACCCAUUCAUCAAGUGUUUUGUUCAUUUUUUGGUGCAUGGUUGUUUGUCAAAUUGACGUACAAGAAUUGUGAUAUUUGACUAAGAUUGUCGAUCAAUCAGAGCGCAAUAGUUCCUUCUAUCGAAUCAAUGAAACGGAGAAGUAUUUUAGCUUUGAACUGGAUUGGCACAGACUUGGUCAGUGAUCCUCACUGUAAUUCCUACUCACAAUCAUAGGAGCAAGUGGUCUCAUGUGAAUUCUCAGUACACGUUGUGCCAAUAGGAUUUACAGCUUUGAUUCAUCAGUAAAUGUUGAAGUAGUUAACUUUCAGUUUUUACGUGUCUUCAAUAAUGUAAUAGUGGAGUCCUAGUCAAUAGGAAAUGGCUUGUUUUUGGGAGUUUGUUUCUACACAUGUUCUGGUUAGUGGGGUAUGUUAGUGGGUCUUUGUUGUUGUUAUUCUGUAGCUAUUUUCUUGCUACCUGGUUUGGAUGCUCUGCCUAUUUAAUAGGCUUAUGUUCUGAUGAAUAAAGUAACAGAGUUACAGCAACAAUUCUCUUGUGUGUCUUCUUCUCUGAGUCUAUUUGAUUAAAUUUCAACAGUAAAGCCAUUUGAUAUUUGUCUGCUAAACUUUGUCGUGGAACUUUAAGAGUUUCUUACUUAAGGAAGUCAUUGCCGGAGUUGGCUUGGAAUGGAUAUAUCCACUACGGUUGGAAGUCUUGGAAUUAAGUUUAGUUUGGUGCACUUCUUGUUCCUUUUUUUUCCUUUGGUUUUUCCUCUUGAAAUGUUGUCGAAGUUUCUGUUAUAGCUUGUCCGAAUCGAAUCAUAUAAUUAGUCGAUUCAAAUGGCGUCGGCUAAUAAUAUGCAUCAUUUCAACAAAAUUCCAGCAGUAUAGUGAAUGAAUGCUAUGGGAAGAUAAGAAGACUAAGAAGCCCAUCCAUGUUUUUCGGAUACAGAAUUUCUUCACCUUUUCCUCUUCUUUUUCGGCAAAAAUGGGAAAAGAAGAAAUUGCUGCCCCAAGUUCAAACAGACUGAUUUCUGAUUCUUAUCAUCCAUGGAAAGACUCACGGUACAACGUUGGACCUUGGAACUGAGCAUAUAGAAUGGAUGAUUAUAUAUGUUUAGGAAAUUUAUGGUGUUUCAUGUAUGUAUUAUCAUGCAUUUUUUUGGAUAUGCUUUUCCUCCCCGUUUUUUUUUUCUUUGGUCGUAUUUCCUCCCAGUUGGUGCAGGGCCAAAAAAUCAUUCUGGCUUAGAGAAAAUGAGACCUACAAUGAAACAUUUACAUGCUCACUUAGUGGACAGUUGCCUUUAGGAUCAUGAUCGAAAAAAAGCAUGUUAGUUGAUGAUCGAACGAGGUUAGAUACCGAAAGGGCACUAAUCGUUUGAUUAGUGUAAUCAAGUCUCCGAACCUAAAUUUUCUGGAUACGUAGGAAAAGAAGGUAUACUCCCGUACGUCACUUGGUUUCUAGUCGACCCGAAUAGACUAAUGGCGACUCUUUACUACAAAAUUCUUAUGAACACCCCAACGUUGCGUGAGGUAUCGGUUUGGGAGAGCCCGUGCCUAAUCACGGACCGUGAACCUGUCUUUAGGUAAUACCCCUAAACCUAUUCCCUCCCCCAAGGGAUAGGUCGCGACAUUAAGCUAAAACUAAAUUCAGCCCCUAUAGUUGUGAUGGCUAAAUAUACGAGCCUCUAAAACGAAGUAUACUUUUUGGUUCCAUACUAUUAAGAAGGAUAAAUUUUAGGGCUUUGUUACAUGAUUUUAGCGUCACAGCUUUUUUUUUUUUUUAACGAAAACUCAAUUACUUUUGUCUUAUUUUCAUUGAAAAUCAUAUGAAAAUAUCAAAUUAAGACUAAUUACUAAUUGGUGAUUUCUACAUUUAGAAAUUUGCCUGAUUUGAUUGACAUUUCCAUUAAGAAUAAUUUUACACCGUAUGCAACAAUUGCAUCUUCAUUUUCAGUUCAAAUCCGUAUACACAUAUUCAGGACCAUUCUUUGGAAAAACAGGCACUUUUAAAUCUUCUAACUACUACUUAACUCACUAUUUAAUAGGCAAAAUAUUUUGAAAAGUUAAUCGGAAUUCUUUCAAUUCUAGCAAUCCUAACAAGUUCGCAUGACGUUGAUUGUAAGGGGCUGUUGGUAUAGGGGGAAGGCUAUUAGUAUUAAGUGUCAAACUCAACUCUAAAAUAUUAAGGGCCUUUAGAAAAAGCUCCUUCAAUUAUCGGUAAUAAAACAACCAAUAGCAAUUAUAAACACUUACACACACAUAAAUGUGCGUGCAUCAAAUUGAAAAUCCACGUCAUUUAAAUUUUAGUUAAAAUGGAAAUGUGAAAAAUCAUACUUAAGAACACGAACUAAUUUUAUCGCAAAAAUAAAGUACAUGGGCUACAGGUCUACCUUUUUCAUCUUUUUGGUGGUCCUAAGCAUGUUCGACUAUAAGAAGAGUAGAGAAAAUAGAGCUAGACCGAAUUGUGGUCAUGCUGAGAAGUACUAUGACUUGUAUUUUUGGUAAUAUUUAUUAUAAAAUUACAAUACCUAAAAAUUGGAUUAAGUGAAUGUACGUUUAAUCUAAUAUUUUAUUAUUGAUAUUGCUCUAUCAUUUGAGUAAAGUAAACGCAAUAUUAACUGGAGGAUUUGUAUAGUUUAUCAUUAUCCUUUUCUAGUUGAUGAUGCUCGAAAGCAUAUAAUUUAUUAUGUAUUUUUAAAGAAGGUAGACUUUUAUCUAGUGUUUUCAUUUUCAAACAGAUUGAGAAUUCUAGUUUAUACCACUUCCUAUAAUAUUUUAAUUCAUUUAUCUAAGCACUCCUAUCUUUCUAAUUUGAACCUGGAAGGAGUUUUCAUAUGAAGGAAGAUCACCCAAAGUAAUCUAUUUUGCAAAAAGAGAAGGCCUAUCGGCAUUAUGAAAAGGUAGGAAAUACCCUUGUCUUAAAAACACCCUUGGCGUGCAUGUAUGUGUUAAUCCAUAGAUGAUAGGCUGAGUUAUUAUAUGCGUUAAUUAUAUUAAAAAAAUAGGUUAUAAAUAGAUUUAAAUAUAAUAUUGGUGUUAAAUGUGUUAUAACUUAAAACCAAAUCUAUCUCUAAGACUUUUUCUUCAUUCUCUCUCGCCCUCAUUUGAUAUUGCGUUCACUCACUCCACACUCUUACUCCAAUUUGGGUAUAAUUUUUUCUAGAUUGGGUUAAAUAUGAAAUAUUUUGACAAUAUGAGUUGGAUUGGAUAUGAGCCAGAUUAGGUAUGGGUCCUUAGAUUUGUAUUAUAUGGAAACGAGUCAAAACAUGUUAAAUGGUUCUAUUUUUGGUUCGACUUGGCCUACCUAUUUGAUGGGUCUAAUACAAGAGGGAGUAUUUUUGUUAUUUUGGAAUAUGAAUUUAUAAUUCUAGCCUCACAAUUAUUUGAAUUUCGAGGGGCCCACAUGCUAAGCAUGUGUUUACAAAUGUCGCUCCAUGAACACUAGGUAGGAUACUAGGGGUAAUUAGUUUCCAGUUCGAGUUAGUUUCACCUAGGAAUUGGGAAUCAGAUCGAGAGAACCAGUGCCUAGUUUUUGGGACUGAGAAUCGGAUCGGGAUAAUUAGUUCUUAGUUUUUGGGACCAUGGACCAGACCGGAUGGUCUUGGGAUCAAGAAUCAAAUUGAAUCGGCCAGUUCGAUCCAAUGGAACCUAUCACUUAGCAAAAAAAAAUAAUUUUUUUUAAAGGUACUAUAGUUGUCACUAUUUUUAAGAAAUCGAAAAAAAGGAGUAAAUCACCGCUUCCAUUUUUAUGGAACCGAGAACUGGAUCAAUGCCCCCGGAAACCAAACCAAAUUGGUUGGUCUGGUUUGGUUUGAGCUGUUCCCAAUUCGGUCGAUCCAAUAUGCUCACCCCUAUAAAAUACUAUUUAAUCAAAAUAUACGUAAAUUAGAUCAAUAGGCCAUUUCAUCUGGCAAUAUAAAAGUGAUUUUGGCAGUCUAGGGAUGCUCUAUUCUUCGGGCUUAAGCAAGGAAGUCGGCAGAUGAUUUUGUGCUAAAAAGCAAAAGGUGAUCAGUGUAAAUUCACUUGCCCAUCUGCAAGAGUCAUUUGUAGUGGGCCAAGGCAUAGAUAAAUUUAUGAAAGAGUGCCUUAAGGAUAUUUAUUCAACACUAAUUAAAUAAACUUUAUAAGUUCCGCCCAAGAUGGAUUUUAGUGGUCCUUUAUAAACCACUUUUAACCCAUUUAGUAAGCACACUUUGGUCCUCCUUCGCCAAUCUCAUCUUUCUAUUCAAUUUUGUGACUCGUGACCUUCUCCCUUUGGUUACUUUGCUUCUGUAAUCGUUAAGUUUUACUCAAUCUCUAACUCACACAAUUGCACUUUUGAGGAAACCCAAACUUUUGCUACCAUUUGCACACUCCCGUCAUAACUUGACCAUCGAACUCCCUCACUAUAUAAUUGACAAGUUGGGUUGGUUUAUGGAGCAAUCCAUUUUUCAAAGGCAACAAUUUAAGGAAAAAAGUUGAUAAAACUAGAUUUCGACUUGGGUUGAGUUUGAGUCAGAUGCGAGAUGAGUAUGAAUCACUAAAUUUAUAUUGAAUAUAAAUGGAUCUAUUUGGAUCCGACAAUGUCCGACCCAACCCACCCUUUAUACUAUUUAAUGAAAAGAUUGUUAAUUAGUCCAAGUGAUUGGGAUCGAUGGGCAAUUUUACCCAGCAAUAUAAAAAGAAUCUAAUUGCGCUCUGUUUUUUUGUUUUUUUCUUUUGGUAAAGUCAAAGUAGAAUUUCAUUCGGUUUUGAUAACAUUUCAUUUGCACCUACCCUCACCCUGCAUCCAGAAAAGAGCUCGGCGAGUGGGUGGACAGACCAGCUAGGUUAUGCAUUCGUUCGUAACUUCGUAUUCACCCCUAGUGCAAGGAAGUUGGCAGAUGAUGUUCGGCUUAAAAGCAAAUGCAGAUCAGAGUAAAUUCAUUUACCCACCUCCAAGGGUCAUCUGUGGUGGGCCCGCACGUGCUUCCUGCAUCUUCGUCAAACAUUAUUACAUAUUCAAAUAACAAUUAUAAAUAUGCAAACCUACGGGAAAGGAAUAAAGUAGAAACAAGACCGGUCGGCUCUGAAAAGAUAAUUUACGUUGCACGUCCCGGUGCAUCGAGCGUCGUUAUGUCCAUAGGAUUCUCUUCUUUUGUACUUCUUUUAAAAUACCGCAUGGUAAGAUUCCAGGAGCCAGUCCUCUUGAUCCGUUCCUUGUAUUCAUUUUAUUGCAUCGCCAAGACAUAAAUAUAUCCAUAAAAAAGCAAAUUCGAGUAAUGAGUGUCUCAACAAGACUUAUUCGUUACCAAUUAAAGAAAUUUUAUGGUCUUUUUUUUUCCUCAUAUUAUAUUUAAUCAAUACCUCUAGAGUUUAUUUGUUAACUGGUCAAAUAGUACCUAAUUUUCUUUUUCCGGAAAAAAAUUUGCUUGGUAACUUUUUUGUUCCCAGAGCAUAAUCAAGAAAUAUACAAAAGUUGCUUAUUUAUUCCUGUGAUCAAUUCUAGAAUCAAAUCAAAUUUUCUUCUCUCUCUCUUCUUUUCCUUUUCUCUUCUUCUUCCUCAUUGCUAGUUGGGCGAGCUCGCCGAAGCCUCAACUAGGGUGAGGCCUAGCAAGGGUCGACCUCACCCAAAUCUGGCAAGGCCGAGCCUUUCCAGGCGUCAUUGCUAGCAACUAUGAGACUCGGCCUCGCCAAGCCAGGGCAAGGCCGGCCUCGCAUUGGUUGGGUGAGGUCAAGCCUUGCCGAUGGCCAGGCAAACUUACCCAGCCACCUGCGAGGCUCUGGUGAGGUUGUUGGACCAUACCCAGUCAGUCACCGAUGGCUAGCGAUCGGCUAGAGAAGAAGAAGACGGAUGGAAAAAGAGAAAGAAAAUAAGAGAAAAAAUAAAAGAAAAAGAGAAAAAAAUAUAAUAAGAUUACUAAAAAAUUAAAAGAAAUUCUAAGUCAUAAAAGAAUUUAAAAUUGUAUCAAAUGCCUUUCUAUCCUAGAAGUAGAAAAUUUGGAUAAUUACUAAACGUAUUCAAAUGCUCAGAAACUCGUCUAGGGAACAUAAUAAAAAAAAAUCAUUUGUAAGCAAAAAUUAUUUCGGGAAAUAGAAUGGUUACCAAAUAAAUCCUUAGUAGCUUGACCAAAUCAUAAAAAGAGAAGAUUUUUUUUUUUGGUUGAAAAUUUUCAAUUAGGAUAAGAACUAAACUGGUUGAGGAUAAAUUCAGGUCAAACUUGGAUUCUAGAAAAAUUGAUGACAUAAUAUCAAUUUUUUAGUAAAAAGAUUAUUAUCACUCAUCUAUGAGCUCACGUGACAAUGUUUUGUGGUUAGAAGGUUGUCAUGGUUAGUUCUUCAAUAUAUGUAAGUUAAUACAAAACCAUAAUUUGUCCCUGUAGCUUUGAACUUUUGAUGGCUAAAUAUACAAGCCUUUAAAACAAAUUAUACUUGUUGGUCCCGUGCUUUUAAGAAAUAACAUAUUUUAGGGCUUUGUUACAUGGUUUUAGUAUCACAGCAAGUUUCUAAACUAUAUUUUUUUUUUAAUGAAAAGUCAAUUACUUUUGUCUUAUUUUCAUUCAAAAUCAUAUGAAAAUAUCAAAUCAAGACUAACUUUCAAUUGUUGAUUUCUACAUUUAGAAAUUUGCCUAAUUAUAUUGACAUUUCCAUUAACAGAUAUACUUUUAAAUCUUCUAACUACAACUUUAACUCACUAUUUAUAGGCAAAAUAUUCUGGAAAUUCACUCGAGUCUAGCAAUCCUAAAAGGUUCACAUCACAUUGAUUGGAAUGGGUUGGCAUCGCAGGAAGGCUAUUAGGCAUCGAGGCUGUCAAAUCUCAACUCUUAAACAUGAAGUGCCUUUAGAAAAAGUUCCUUCAAUUAUUGGUAAUAAAACAACUGAUAACAAUUAUAAACACUUACACACAUCUAAAUGUGAUGUAUCAAAUUGAUAAUUCGCAUCAUUUAAAUUUUAGUUGAAAUGGAAAUGUGAAAAAUUGUACUUAAGAUCCCAUCAUGAAUGGUACACAUACUAAUAUUGCAGCAAAAACAAAGUACAUGAACAAAGAGCCCAUUUACCAUACACUUUAGUGCCAAAAAUUUCAAAAAGUACAAGUACCAUAAUCGGAGAAAAAUAAAAUAUUUAAAUGCCAAUAGUGAGAAAUUCUGGCCAAAUUGCUAAUGUAGCAUUCUUCUGGUGAGAUGAGUGCAAAAUGACGUUGUGCAAUGAAGUGCUCCGACUUGUGUGUUUGGUAAUAUUUAUUAUUAAAUUACAACAAACCUAAAAAUUGGGUGGGAUAACUUUUAAAUAGUUGUUAUAACUAUAGAGAUGUCGUGGCUAUAAGGUGAUUGUCAACCACCUUGUAACGAUUGCGACAUCUAUUUUCAAAGUUAAAGCUGCAAUGAUGAAAAUGUACUAAAAAUAUGAUGAAUUAGAAUAUUCUGAAAAGUACAAGGACUAAAAUGGUGACUUACAUUUAGAGGCUUAUAUAUGGAGGAGCCACAUGACAUAGCUAAUAUUGAUUCAACAAAUUCUAAGUAGAAAUUUGAUAGAAAGACUUAAAUUAUCACGCCAGAAUAGUGUGAUUAGAAUCAUAAUCAAAGAAAGAAAAAUGGUCAAAAGUAUUCUUCCAAAUAUAUAGGUUCCAGGAAUGUAAUUUUCCUGGAAUUAAUUAUGGAUCUAGUGUCAUUUGCUGCUGUUGAUAUGUCCAAGAAUAAAAUAUAAGAUCUCAUGUGGGGUUGUCUCAAAGAUCGGGUGCUAUUUCGACCGCACAGCUGUGUGCUAUUUCGAAUCCUUCUUGAAUCAACGCCUAGACCUCACUUGAGCGUGCUGGAGGAGAUGGAGCCCGCUCCCACGUGGUGCUUUACCCGUUUCUACCCCCACGGCAAAAACGGCAGGCCUCUCUCACGAAUGAGAAAGUAUGUAUAUGUAUAUACCACCUUCUCCGCUAAGGCUUCUAGUUCCCUCUUCUCUCCCCCACAAAGUAAAAAUCCCAACAUAACAAAAACAAAAACAAGAACCAAAACAAAAAUGGUAAAAAGAAAAAAGCUCCUCUGCUCGGGCAAAUAAAAAGGCAUUUUCAAAUUUUGCGGAAUCAUUUCGAUAUCCUUCGCACUUGAGAGUCCGACUUCGGAGGAGAAACUACGGGCAGAGUCAGUCGGGGCAAAGAAGAAAUGCGUCGUCUCGUUCUUAGCAACCCUUUCGUGGCGGUUGUCGCACCGAUCCUUCUCGGUGUGCUGGCGCACAAGGUUCUGAGUAAGAGGAGAGCAAGUGCGCUAAGAGACGCGGAUGAUCAGCAUCCUGGUACGCCUAGUCCUCCGAUCCAGCCGAGUGAAAAUGACUACGACGUGUUCUUAAACUUUCGAGGCAGAGAUACUAGAGAGCGCUUUGUCGACCACCUCUACUGUGGCCUCGUCAAUGCCGGGAUCUGUGUCUUCAGGGACGAUGCUGAGCUCCUCAAAGGCGAGGAUUUGAGCUCAAAUCUUCAGGAAGCCCUUGAGAACAGUAAGAUUUUCAUCCCGAUUAUCUCUGAGAAUUAUGCUUCUAGUAAAUGGUGCCUUGAUGAACUGGUUCGCAUGAUGGAGUGCCAAAAACACUUGGGGCGGUUAGUGUUGUCCAUAUUCUACAAAGUGGAACCUGCAGAUGUGCGAUAUCAAACGGGUCAUUUUGGACAGGCAUUUCAUCGUUCUCAUGGGUGUUUAGCCCAAAAGGUGGUUGUGCACAAAUGGAAGCAAGCUCUUGGAGAAGUCAGUUCCUUAUGAGGAUGGGAAGUUGCUAAUGGGUAGGUACUUUGACGAUAUCAACACCAAUCAAAUCGUAAUUUUCUUUAUGGAUCCAAUUCGUUCGUUUUAAUGAUGGAAGUUUUUUGCUAUAAUACUUUGCCUUCCUUUAUGCAAGGAUUUUCUAGCUUAUAUUUUGCUUAUUUCUACCUACAUAAAGGCAGCAUUACUGCGUUUAUCUUUACGAAUAAGAAUUUGAUAAUUACGACGACGGACGCCUCUAAAAGAACCAAAAAUAAAUAAAAGAAGAAGAAGGAGAAAAGGAGACUGCUUGAAAAGCUUCAUUAGCCUCAAUCUCUUUCUAAUAAAUUACGAUAUUUCUGAAAAGAAGUUAUGAGUGGGUCUUGUGGAGCAACCACGGGAUUGCUUUACCCCUUUCCUCUGAGCAAAUAAAAUAAGAAAUGGCAGUGGCGAAAAGAUUAUAAGUUUUCCAAAUUAUCCCCGAGUUCUAUUGUUUGUGCUAUCGUUAGAUAAUACUUAUGUCAUUGAACUCAUUUUUAUUUGACAGGAGUGAAGGAGAAUUGGUAGAAUUGGUUGUGCACAAAGUUUUGAAAGAGUUGAAGAAAGCGGUGGAGUUCGUUGUUAGUGAUUAUCUGGUUGGCAUUGACAGUUCUGUGGAGGAGGUUAUGGAAUUGGUAAAUAAGAAUGCCAGUGCUACCUUGCGUGUGGGAAUUUAUGGAAUUGGGGGAAUUGGUAAGAUGACUCUUGCCAAAAUCAUAUACAACAAGUUGUCCAAUCAAUUUGUGCAUCGUAGCUUCAUUGCAG